AGAGUUUGAUCCUGGCUCAGAACGUACGUUGGCGGCACGCCUAAUACAUGCAAGUCGAACGAAGUAGCAAUACUUAGUGGCAGACGGGUGAGUAACAUGUAGGUAUCUACCCUUUGGUCUGGAAUAACACGAGGAAACUUGUGCUAAUACCGGAUAAGUCUUUACGGAGAAAGCUUUAUGCACCAUUGGAUGAGCCUGCACUUGAUUAGUUUGUUGGUGGGGUAAUGGCCUACCAAGACAAUGAUCAAUAGCUGAUUUGAGAGGAUGAUCAGCCACAUUGGGACUGAGACACGGCCCAAACUCCUACGGGAGGCAGCAGUAGGGAAUCUUGCACAAUGGAGGAAACUCUGAUGCAACGAUGCCGCGUGAGUGAAGAAGGCCUUUGGGUUGUAAAGCUCUUUCGUCGGGGAAGAAAAUGACUGUACCCGAAUAAGAAGGUCCGGCUAACUUCGUGCCAGCAGCCGCGGUAAUACGAAGGGACCUAGCGUAGUUCGGAAUUACUGGGCUUAAAGAGUUCGUAGGUGGUUAAAAAAGUUGGUGGUGAAAUCCCAGAGCUUAACUCUGGAACUGCCAUCAAAACUUUUUAGCUAGAGUAUGAUAGAGGAAAGCAGAAUUUCUAGUGUAGAGGUGAAAUUCGUAGAUAUUAGAAAGAAUACCGAUUGCGAAGGCAGCUUUCUGGAUCAUUACUGACACUGAGGAACGAAAGCAUGGGUAGCGAAGAGGAUUAGAUACCCUCGUAGUCCAUGCCGUAAACGAUGUGUGUUAGACGUUGGAAAUUUAUUUUCAGUGUCGCAGCGAAAGCGAUAAACACACCGCCUGGGGAGUACGACCGCAAGGUUAAAACUCAAAUGAAAUUGACGGG
rnacentral:rRNA from 1 species